ACUUGGGAGGUUGUGCCCUUGAGGCGUGGCUUCCGGAGCUAACGCGUUAAGUCGACCGCCUGGGGGAGUACGGCCGCAAGGUUAAAACUCAAAUGAAUUGACGGGGGCCCGCACAAGCGGUGGAGCAUGUGGUUUAAUUCGAUGCAACGCGAAGAACCUUACCUGGUCUUGACAUCCACAGAACUUUCCAGAGAUGGAUUGGUGCCUUCGGGAACUGUGAGACAGGUGCUGCAUGGCUGUCGUCAGCUCGUGUUGUGAAAUGUUGGGGUUAAGUUCCCGCAACGAGCGCAACCCUUAUCCUUUGUUGCCAGCGGUUCCGGCCGGGAACUCAAAGCAGACUGCCAGUGAUAAACUGGAGGAAGGUGGGUGAUGACGUCAAGUCAUCAUGGACCCUUACGACCAGGAGCUACACACGUGACUACAAUGGCGCAUACAAAGGAGAAGC
rnacentral:rRNA from 1 species